rnacentral:misc_RNA from 1 species
UCCGAGUUGACCCCGGCAGUCUCCUACGAGUCCCCGACAUUAUUCGCUGGCAACAUAGGACAAGGGUUGCGCUCGUUGCGGGACUUAACCCAACAUCUCACGACACGAGCUGACGACAACCAUGCACCACCUGUGUGGCACCCUCGAAGGUCACACGUUUCCGUGCGCUUGCAGCCACAUGUCAAGCCCAGGUAAGGUUCUUCGCGUUGCAUCGAAUUAAAGAACAUGCUCCGCUGCUUGUGCGGGCCCCCGUCAAUUCUUUUGAGUUUUAGCCUUGCGGCCGUACUCCCCAGGCGGGUCACUUAAUGCGUUAGCUCCGGCACGGAGGGAGUCGACACCCCCCACACCUAGUGCCCAUCGUUUACGGCGUGGACUAC